UGUUCCCGCGGGCCCACAGUAUAGAGCAUGCGCAGUCGGAGCGACUCGGAGAAGCAGUCGCUAUUUUCCUCAGCUCCACAAAAGCAUGUUAGAAGAGGAUUUACAGACUGCAAACUCAAACCACAUAACAUACCAAGAUCUGUGUGCCAGUUUAUUUAUUAUUCAUUCAGCACUGGAUAUUAUUGGCCUUUCAAUGACAACCAGAAUUGGACACAGUCCUGCAGAAGAGGCCUUGCCAAUGGCCUGUAUGAUCUCAACAUGACGUCCCAACUUCUCUACACAACAGACUGAGCAAUGAAGGUUACGCCUCAACCUCCUAUCUUCCGGUGAAUGAAGUCCCAGCCUAUCCAGCCUAUUUUUACAACUCGAACCCUUCUUACCCAGUAAUAUCCUGCUUUUUUCUGAACCCACUCCGGUUUAAUAAUAUCCUUCCGAUGACGGGACUACCAGAAUGGCACACAGUAUUCCUUGAGAGUCCUCAUCAACAUCCUUUACAACCUCCAACAUGACGUCCUAACUCCCGUACUCAAAGACCUGAGCAAUGAAGACAAGUGUGCUGAAUGCCUUCUUAACCACUCUGUCCACCUGUGAAACAAAUUUCAAAGAAUAAUGUACCUGAAAGCCUAGGUUCUCUGUUCUGUAAUAGUACCCAGGGCCCUACUAUUAAUUGUAUAAGUCCUGCUCAUGUGAAGUAUUCCAUUUUGGAUAAAACAAACAUUUAUUCAAAUAAAGUUCAAUCUGCCACUCUUUAGCCCAUUGACCCAAUUGACUAAGAUCUCGGUCUAAUCCAGAAAGCCAAUAGGCUGUAUGCUUUAUUAUCACAGGAAUUAAACAUCAAUGUAAGGAUGUUCUGCUUCAUUUGUACAAGGAAGGGAAGAGACCAAAUCUCAAAUACCUCGUGCAGGUUUUGGUCGUCUGUACGCUUAUUCGAAGUGGUUCAGAGAAAGUUUACAAGAUUGAACCCUGGAAUAAGUGGGUUGUCUAAGGAGGAUAGGUUGGGCAGGCGAAAUGGAAUAGGAUUAGGCUAGAACUGCUGACUAAAACAGUAAAGUAAUAUGAUGUGAGCCAGGAUAUAGGGUGUGGUGAAGUAGAAUCUCUAUGGGUUGAGCUCAAACGUCAAUGGAGAGAAAGUGAUAUUAGUGUUGUAUAUAGACCCCAAGCUGCAGUAAUAUUGGGGAAGGCAUCAGAAUGGAAUUUAGAAC